UUUUUCUCAAAAACUUCUUAAACCUUCUAGUAAUGAGAGCCAUUUCUUCAUCCUGCUCUUCAUUUUCCAUAUCAUCAGUUUCUUCAUCAAGUUGAGCCGUGGAUUUAAGGAUGAUUAUCCUCUUCUUUUUGACUUCUUCUUCUUGAUGUUAUUUCAUGCUCAGCUCAUGUGUCAUCAGUGAUCCUAGAAGCUCUUCCAAGGGUAGGAUGUUCAGAUCUUUGACUUCUUGGAUAGCGAUCACUUUGGCUUCCCAAGUUCUUAGUA
rnacentral:lncRNA from 1 species